rnacentral:lncRNA from 1 species
AUGAGAUCCCCCCUCAGCCUUCUUCUCUCCAGGCAGAACAGCCCCAGGUCCCUCAGCCUUUCCUCCUCAGAGAGAUGCUCCAGUCCCCUGAGCAUCUUCGUAGCCCUUCGCUGGACUCUCUCCAGCAGUUCCUUCUCUGAGGAGCCAGUCACGUCGUGUUCCUGUUGCUCCUCGUCUUUCUUGAAGCGGGGAGCCGGCGUGUCACGUUCCUGUUUCAAUUCUGCCUUUCAGCUGAGCGGAUGGAGCUUGGUGGGAAGUCAACCCUCGACAGCUUCCAGCUCCCUGGAGAAGGCGGCCGUGCCCUGCUCCCCCCUGUACACGGACCCCUACACUCCCAGCUCCUCGGGCGCCCGCAGCCUGGCAGGCUCCGGCUUCCUGCAAGAGUGUCACGGACAGAUGGGUUCAGCACACGCGGAUGGAUUCCCAGCCCUCCCGGUACCCCAGCAUCUCUCUCUGCAGAAGAGGAACUGCCACCCCCUGCGCGGUGGUCACUGCAGAGAGGUUCCUGCUGCCCCCAGUUACAGCACGACCUCGUGCCAUCUCCAGCUGCGGCCUCCUGCUGACGCUUAUCUUGAAGAGGUCUCUUCUCUGCCAGAGGAACAUCUGGGCCAUUCAUUGCAUCCACCAGGUGAGACCCUUGGGAUGCUGCCUCCCACCCUGCCUUGUCAGUGCCUGUCUCCAUAAGCAUCAUUCAAAGCAGGGCUGAGGGAGUGUGGGGACUCCUGCGUGCC